AAUUCGGAACUGCUUCAGGGAGUCUAUGCUAUGGGUUUCAACGCUCCUUCCAAGAUUCAGAAGACGGCUCAACCUACUCUGUUGGCCGAUCCGCCACAGAACAAUCGCCCAGAGUUGGUCGGGAACAAGAAAAACCACUGCCUUCGUGCUGGCAAUGCUCAAUCGAGUCGAUCCGUUGAAAAAUUAUCCGCAGGUGAUUUGCCUUUCCCCACGUAUGAACUGGCAAUUCAGAAGGGGAAAGUAGCUGCAAAACGGCAAAGUUUUGUGCGGAAAUCGAACUUGGUUAAACCGUUCGUGGUGAGAAGAUCGUCAAAGGGGCGAAGCUGACUAAUCAUAUCAUCAUCGGAACAGCCGGGCGUUCGACCUUAAGAAGAUUGCAAUUUUUGUACCGGACGAGGCGGGCGUUAUGAUCGCUGUUCUUUUUAGCCACGUACGAGCGGGAGGUGAUGGGAUUCGCCCAGUACAUCGUAACCAAUCCGAUCAUGAUUCUUCUGGUGCGGGAGCAAGAAUCACUCGAUAACACCAAACACUACUACGUCAAAUGCCGCAACCAGGACGAGAAAUAUCAAGCAAUUUCAAACAUGUACGGUGUGAUUACCGUCGGACAAGCGAUCAUUUUCUGUCAUAUGAUGUAUAGGACAGUUGUAAACUCCAAGUAAACUUAUUUUCGGCAUUGUUAAUCGAUCGAAACAGGCACGCAAAACGGCCGGUUGGACCAGGAUAAUCACUCAGUAGCGGUACUGUCCGGUGAUCUAACGGCGGAGCAACGGUUGGCCGUUCUGGAUCGAUCCUGAGCCGGACUAGAGAAGGUAUUGAUUGCAACGAACGUUUUGUCUAGGGGUAUCGAUGUUGAACAGGUGACCAUUGUUAUCAACUUCGACCUGCCGAUGGAUUAGCAGGGACGAGCCGAUUGCGAAACGUAUCUACAUCGAAUUAGACGCACCGGUAGAUUCGAACGGAAUCACCAUCAACCUAGUGGGCAGUGAUCGAAGCAUGAUGAUUUGCAGAUCAAUCGAAAAACACUUCCGGAAAAAGAUUCAGUUGCUAGACGCGGAGAACUCGGACGAAAUUGAAAAGAUCGCACCGUAAAGUGUUUUCGACCAGCUACUGGUGAAAGGCAUAGGAGCUUUUUUGGGUCAUACUUGUUAUGAUUCUGAAUUUAUAAUUUUAUUAAUUUUUUUUUCUUCCUUGACCUGACAUAUGUAACCAACAGGGUAAUAAAUUUACAAUUAAAAUUACAAUUUCUCGAGUACUUUUACAAAUGGACGUAAGUAACAUUGAGAGCCUCUCUUUGUUUACUUUCUCUUUCGUUUAUUACGACAUCAUUACAACACUUUGCACUAAUUUUCCAGUACAUAUCGAAAGCAGACGGUUUUUACUAGAAUAUUAUGCAAAGAGUAGAGUAGUAAAUGUUGAAAUGGCCGAUUAAUGAACAGAAGAGAAAGACCUCAAAGAGAAUCUCUCAUUGUUACUUACGUCCAUUUGUAAAAGUACUCGAGAUUUAUCUCUACCCAGUUCUAUCCAAACAUUUGAAAAGGGCCUAACUGCAAAAUGUAACAAAUUGAAAUUUCAUGUUUUCCAUUAACAAAUAUCUACCCGAGCACGUACAUAACGCAACAUUUGAUCAUGAAGAAUUUUGAUAGCGAUUUUACAACAAUUAAUAAAAGGGCCUAAUUGAUUUUUAUGACCGAACUGAUUAUGAAAGGACCUAACUGAUUGAAAAGUGCCUAACUAGCAAUACACUCGUUUUAAAUGGAUUAUAACGUAUUAUUGUAUUA